rnacentral:rRNA from 1 species
AGAGUUUGAUCCUGGCUCAGAACGAACGCUGGCGGCAGGCCUAAUACWUGCAAGUCGAACGCACCGCAAGGUGAGUGGCAGACGGGUGAGUAACGCGUGGGAAUCUUCCCAGUGGUACGGAAUAACUCCGGGAAACCGGUGCUAAUACCGUAUAAGCCCUUCGGGGGAAAGAUUUAUCGCCACUGGACGAGCCCGCGUCGGAUUAGCUAGUUGGUGAGGUAAUGGCUCACCAAGGCUACGAUCCGUAGCUGGUCUGAGAGGAUGAUCAGCCACACUGGGACUGAGACACGGCCCAGACUCCUACGGGAGGCAGCAGUAGGGAAUAUUGGACAAUGGGCGAAAGCCUGAUCCAGCCAUGCCGCGUGAGUGAAGAAGGCCUUAGGGUUGUAAAGCUCUUUUGGCGGGGAAGAUAAUGACGGUACCCGCAGAAUAAGCUCCGGCUAACUUCGUGCCAGCAGCCGCGGUAAUACGAAGGGGGCUAGCGUUGUUCGGAAUCACUGGGCGUAAAGCGCACGCAGGCGGAUUGAUAAGUCGGGGGUGAAAUCCCGGGGCUCAACCUCGGAAUUGCCUUCGAUACUGUCUGUCUUGAGUCCGGGAGAG